GACGAACGCUGGCGGCGUGCCUAAUACAUGCAAGUAGAACGCACAGUUUAUACCGUAGCUAGCUACACCAUAGACUGUGAGUUGCGAACGGGUGAGUAACGCGUAGGUAACCUGCCUGGUAGCGGGGGAUAACUAUUGGAAACGAUAGCUAAUACCGCAUAAUAUUAAUUAUUGCAUGAUAAUUAAUUGAAAGGUGCAAUUGCACCACUACCAGAUGGACCUGCGUUGUAUUAGCUAGUAGGUGAGGUAACGGCUCACCUAGGCGACGAUACAUAGCCGACCUGAGAGGGUGAUCGGCCACACUGGGACUGAGACACGGCCCAGACUCCUACGGGAGGCAGCAGUAGGGAAUCUUCGGCAAUGGACGAAAGUCUGACCGAGCAACGCCGCGUGAGUGAAGAAGGUUUUCGGAUCGUAAAGCUCUGUUGUAAGAGAAGAACGGGUGUGAGAGUGGAAAGUUCACACUGUGACGGUAUCUUACCAGAAAGGGACGGCUAACUACGUG
rnacentral:rRNA from 1 species